ensembl:snRNA U6 U6 spliceosomal RNA
GUGUUCGCUUUGUCACUAUAUAUACUAAAACUGGAGCAGCACAGAGAAGAUUAAUGAGGCUUAUGUGCAAGGAUGGUUCACACAUUUGUGAAUCAUUCCAUAUUUCC